UGCUGUAGCGUGAAAAUGCAGCGAAAAGUAAAAUUACCAUUACCAUCCAAAAAACUUCAAAAUCAAGGAUGCACACCAUUGUGCCAUACUCAACCCAUAUCCAAAAUUAUAAAUCAAGAUUUCACACUCCUGUUUGGAGCGGAAACCUCCUCCAAGUUAUUAGAGAAGUGGGACUCCACCUUCAAAUGCAAAAUCAUUGAAGAAGCAAGAUGCUUGACUCAGACUCACACUGUACGCCACCUUCUGAUGUCUGCAGAGAACCAAGACGCUGAACCAAGCGCUGAAUGGGACACGGAUAUAGCUACUCUACUGCUCUUAAUACACCUCCUCCCACCACAACCUGUCGGCAAGAAGGCUGUGAAGAUCAGUGCAGAUGCUGCAUCUGAAAGGCUCAUUGUUUAUCACAAG
ensembl:lncRNA